UGACGCCGGCGGUGUGCCUAAUACAUGCAAGUCGUACGCACUGGCCCAACUGAUUGAUGGUGCUUGCACCUGAUUGACGAUGGAUCACCAGUGAGUGGCGGACGGGUGAGUAACACGUAGGUAACCUGCCCCGGAGCGGGGGAUAACAUUUGGAAACAGAUGCUAAUACCGCAUAACAACAAAAGCCACAUGGCUUUUGUUUGAAAGAUGGCUUUGGCUAUCACUCUGGGAUGGACCUGCGGUGCAUUAGCUAGUUGGUAAGGUAACGGCUUACCAAGGCGAUGAUGCAUAGCCGAGUUGAGAGACUGAUCGGCCACAAUGGAACUGAGACACGGUCCAUACUCCUACGGGAGGCAGCAGUAGGGAAUCUUCCACAAUGGGCGCAAGCCUGAUGGAGCAACACCGCGUGAGUGAAGAAGGGUUUCGGCUCGUAAAGCUCUGUUGUUGGAGAAGAACGUGCGUGAGAGUAACUGUUCACGCAGUGACGGUAUCCAACCAGAAAGUCACGGCUAACUACGUGCCAGCAGCCGCGGUAAUACGUAGGUGGCAAGCGUUAUCCGGAUUUAUUGGGCGUAAAGCGAGCGCAGGCGGUUGCUUAGGUCUGAUGUGAAAGCCUUCGGCUUAACCGAAGAAGUGCAUCGGAAACCGGGCGACUUGAGUGCAGAAGAGGACAGUGGAACUCCAUGUGUAGCGGUGGAAUGCGUAGAUAUAUGGAAGAACACCAGUGGCGAAGGCGGCUGUCUGGUCUGCAACUGACGCUGAGGCUCGAAAGCAUGGGUAGCGAACAGGAUUAGAUACCCUGGUAGUCCAUGCCGUAAACGAUGAGUGCUAGGUGUUGGAGGGUUUCCGCCCUUCAGUGCCGGAGCUAACGCAUUAAGCACUCCGCCUGGGGAGUACGACCGCAAGGUUGAAACUCAAAGGAAUUGACGGGGGCCCGCACAAGCGGUGGAGCAUGUGGUUUAAUUCGAAGCUACGCGAAGAACCUUACCAGGUCUUGACAUCUUGCGCUAACCUUAGAGAUAAGGCGUUCCCUUCGGGGACGCAAUGACAGGUGGUGCAUGGUCGUCGUCAGCUCGUGUCGUGAGAUGUUGGGUUAAGUCCCGCAACGAGCGCAACCCUUGUUACUAGUUGCCAGCAUUAAGUUGGGCACUCUAGUGAGACUGCCGGUGACAAACCGGAGGAAGGUGGGGACGACGUCAGAUCAUCAUGCCCCUUAUGACCUGGGCUACACACGUGCUACAAUGGACGGUACAACGAGUCGCAAGCUCGCGAGAGUAAGCUAAUCUCUUAAAGCCGUUCUCAGUUCGGACUGUAGGCUGCAACUCGCCUACACGAAGUCGGAAUCGCUAGUAAUCGCGGAUCAGCAUGCCGCGGUGAAUACGUUCCCGGGCCUUGUACACACCGCCCGUCACACCAUGGGAGUUUGUAACGCCCAAAGUCGGUGGCCUAACCUUUAUGGAGGGAGCCGCCUAAGGCGGGACAGAUGACUGGGGU
rnacentral:rRNA from 1 species